rnacentral:rRNA from 1 species
GUGGGGAAUCUUGCGCAAUGGGCGAAAGCCUGACGCAGCCAUGCCGCGUGAAUGAUGAAGGUCUUAGGAUUGUAAAAUUCUUUCACCGGGGACGAUAAUGACGGUACCCGGAGAAGAAGCCCCGGCUAACUUCGUGCCAGCAGCCGCGGUAAUACGAAGGGGGCUAGCGUUGCUCGGAAUUACUGGGCGUAAAGGGCGCGUAGGCGGACAGUUUAGUCAGAGGUGAAAGCCCAGGGCUCAACCUUGGAAUUGCCUUUGAUACUGGCUGUCUUGAGUACGGGAGAGGUGAGUGGAACUCCGAGUGUAGAGGUGAAAUUCGUAGAUAUUCGGAGGAACACCAGUGGCGAAGGCGGCUUACUGGUCCAUUACUGACGCUGAGGUGCGAAAGCGUGGGGAGCAAACAGGAUUAGAAACCCGUGUAGUCC